AUUCGAAUCUUUAUCGUCUAUCGUAUGUAUAUAAAAGGAACAAGAACGACAUAUGACAUGUCUAAACGGCGGCGUGUGUCUGUUUACUGGGUUACAACAACGGCAAUAACAAUGAAUCACCUAACAUUUCAAGAAAAUAUACAUUAUAGAUAGAUGUCAUGCAUGACCCCAUGAGUUUUGGAUUUGAAUUGCUAGAUUUAAAUCUAUAUUAUGUACACAAAAUCAUGCGUGCGUAAAUUUGAGCAAAAAAGCACAAGGUGUUUGUUUGGCCAUAUGCCCAUCAUGUAGUAUGAAUAUUGAACACCGUUUUAUAUAGCAUCGGAUAAUCCUGAAUCCUUCACCGAUUACAUGCGUGGCAAAUGACGAAAAAUAAUUAUGUAAAAUAAUUAACCUAAUAUGUCUUUGGCCAUGAAUGCAACUCACUAUGCUGCUUUAUACAUUUGACAGUCAAAACUAUGUGCAUGACUUGAUGACUGUAUGGCCCAAUGUAUGUUAAUUGUUUCAGGGAAAUUUUUGUGUUCAGAUUAAAGUAGAACAAUAUUUUCUGCAUUCCAAUAUAUUUUCUACAUGCAAGUGCACACUCUGUUUCAGAUAGGGGCCAAAUCAUUUGAGGCCAAAUGGGA